rnacentral:misc_RNA from 1 species
GAUGAAGAACGCAGCGAAAUGCGAUACGUAAUGUGAAUUGCAGAAUUCAGUGAAUCAUCGAAUCUUUGAACGCAUAUUGCGCUCUCUGGUAUUCCGGAGAGCAUGCUUGUUUGAGUAUCAGUAAACACCUCAACUUCCAUAUCUUUUUUGAAAUGGGAGUUGGACUUGAGUGAUCCCAACGCUUUUCCUCACCGAAAAGUGGCGGGUUACUUGAAAUGCAGGUGCAGCUGGACUUCUCUCUGAGCUAUAAGCAUAUCUAUUUAGUCUGCCUAAAAAACAGAUUAUUACCUUUGCUGCAGCUAACAUAAAGGAGAUUAGUUCUUGUGCUGACUGAUGCAGGAUUCACAAAGACGGCUUCGGCCGACUUUGUAAACUCGAUCUCAAAUCAAGUAAGACUACCCGCUGAACUUAAGCAUAUCAAUAAGCGGAGGA